AAAGGCUUGUUUUGUCGAUCAAGGGCAUAAAUGACAUUUGCUCUGCCAUUAAUUAUUUAGGUAUAAAAUCGCUUUAUUUCCUUCACCAUAUAUCUGACACAAAUUCUAGAACUCUCCCUAUUUUUCUGAAGCACUGCUCUCUUAGUAUAUCCGUUCUUCUUCUCUAAUUUCAGGUAAGCCCUCAAUUUUGAUUUAAUCUUUUUCUGCUUCUUUUCAAAAAAUUGUCGGUGUUACGCUGAAAAUAAUUGUUGUUGUUAUUAUUCAUUUUAACUUUCUCUUCUAUAUCCUUGUUCAUCCCAUAUAUUCUAAAGAAAAGUGAAUUAGUGAAGGUCUUAUUUUGGGCAAAAUAGUUUCUAGCUCUUGUGCAAUUUCUCGAAUUUCAGACUGCUUUGCGAAUUUCUGGUUACUAUUCGGUAAAGAAUAUCUGGUAUUGUGCAAGACUGAAUUUGCUAAAUUUCAUGUCACUCUCUUCAAAUAUUCGCUGCUCAUCGGGUAUCUGUUUUAGGCCUUGUUCUCCGGUGAUACGUUUAUUGCUCAACUUCAGAGUUCUCCUUCGCUUCUUACAAGUAUCAUCUCUCUAUUUUGGAGUAUUUCUCAACUCUCUUAUGUACUUUUUUCUGUUCUUUAGGCCGCUUAGUUGAUUUAAUGGUAAAUAUUUUU
rnacentral:lncRNA from 1 species